rnacentral:rRNA from 1 species
GCCCUUUCCGUAGGUGAACCUGCGGAAGGAUCAUUAGUGAAUAUAGGACGUCCAACUUAACUUGGAGUCCGAACUCUCACUUUCUAACCCUGUGCACUUGUUUGGGAUAGUAACUCUCGCAAGAGAGCGAACUCCUAUUCACUUAUAAACACAAAGUCUAUGAAUGUAUUAAAUUUUAUAACAAAAUAAAACUUUCAACAACGGAUCUCUUGGCUCUCGCAUCGAUGAAGAACGCAGCGAAAUGCGAUAAGUAAUGUGAAUUGCAGAAUUCAGUGAAUCAUCGAAUCUUUGAACGCACCUUGCGCUCCAUGGUAUUCCGUGGAGCAUGCCUGUUUGAGUGUCAUGAAUACUUCAACCCUCCUCUUUCUUAAUGAUUGAAGAGGUGUUUGGUUUCUGAGCGCUGCUGGCCUUUACGGUCUAGCUCGUUCGUAAUGCAUUAGCAUCCGCAAUCGAACUUCGGAUUGACUUGGCGUAAUAGACUAUUCGCUGAGGAAUUCUAGUCUUCGGACUAGAGCCGGGUUGGGUUAAAGGAAGCUUCUAAUCAGAAUGUCUACAUUUUAAGAUUAGAUCUCAAAUCAGGUAGGACUACCCGCUGAACUUAAGCAUAUCAAUAAGCGGAGG